UCCAGGGUAGCCUAGUGGACAUGGCAUCUGCCCGGUAAGCGAAAAACUGUGGGUUCGAUUCCCAUCCAUGUAC
rnacentral:tRNA from 1 species